CCUACGGGUGGCAGCAGUGAGGAAUAUUGGUCAAUGGCCGGAAGGCUGAACCAGCCAAGUCGCGUGAAGGACGACGGCGCCAUGGAUUGUAAACCUCUUUUGUCAAGGGAGAAAAAAUGCCACGUGUGGCUGGCUGCCGGUACCUGAUGAAUAAGCAUCGGCUAACUCCGUGCCAGCAGCCGCGGUAAUACGGAGGAUGCGAGCGUUAUCCGGAUUUAUUGGGUUUAAAGGGUGCGUAGGCGGUUUGUUAAGUUAGUGGUUAAACGUCGGGGCUCAACCCUGAUGUGCCGUUGAAACUGGCAGACUUGAGUUGAGAAGAGGUAGGCGGAAUGCG
rnacentral:rRNA from 1 species